UACGUAGGGUGCAAGCGUUGUCCGGAAUUAUUGGGUCGUAAAGAGCUCGUAGGUGGCCUGUCGCGUCGGUCUGUGAAAACUCGGGGCUCAACUCCGAGCUUGCAGUCGAUACGGGCAGGCUAGAGUUCGGCAGGGGAGACUGGAAUUCCUGGUGUAGCGGUGAAAUGCGCAGAUAUCAGGAGGAACACCGGUGGCGAAGGCGGGUCUCUGGGCCGAAUACUGACACUGAGGAGCGAAAGCGUGGGGAGC
rnacentral:rRNA from 1 species